AUGAACCCAGGGGAUGGAGGUUGCAGUGAGCCGAGAUCGCGCCAUUGCACUCCAGCCUGGGCGACAGAGCAAGACUCCGUCUCAAAAAAAAAAAAAAAAGAAAAACCAGCUUACGCUUCACUGGGGUCCCUGACAGCUGGACUCCGAGCCUGCAGCCCUCACAGUCCGGCCACAGAUCCCGGAAGGGGCAGCUUACAAGGCAUGGAGUCAGCUCCGCCCGUGGUCCUCACCGUAUCUGGCCAACAGGCGAACCCACAGGGCUGUCACCUCUGCUACCCGAUGGCCCGACAGGGAGCUCUCGGCCGUGUCCCGGCCAGACCCAGCGCCUCCAGACGCCAGCAAACAGCCACAUGCAGCCCGGCUAUCAGCCACACGCGUCUGACGCUCUCAGACCAGCCUGCGGAGCCUGGGGAGAGGCUCCGGGAUCCUUGCAGCAGGAAGCUGGCCAGAAAGGCGGCCCAACAGAAAGUCACGGCUGCCAGACACCCGAAGGCACCUCGAAAGAGAAAGUCAACGGGGCAGGGCCCAGGCAUGUUGAGGGGCCGCAAAGCCCAGCUGCACAGUGGGGCCCCCGUUCGCGAGGCCUGCAGGGGCCUCUGCCCUCCACCGCCUUCCCUCGGGGCUCCGAUGGGUUUGCCAUUUCCUAGCACGUGGAUGGGAAAGGGCCCGUGGGCUGGGGGUGACCGGAUGGUGAGGGGUCAGGACAUCGCCUGUGGGGGUGGCCUUCCGGCUCAACUCAGCCGAGACGCCAGCGCAGGGCCAGGGCUGCUGCCGGCCGGACACCCGCGCUGUGAGGCGCUCCUCGCCCCGGGGCUUCAUCUGCCCUUGCCGGAGCCUUCCCGGCUCGCUGAUUUGUGGCAGACUUAAUCCCGCACUAAUUAGAUUUCUGCACUGGUGAUGAAAGGGCUCCGUGCGUGCCAGCCCGCUGGCCGGCCCAGCCCACUGCUUGUUUUGCACAGAAUUUUAAUUGUUUCCAAAUUAAUCCUCGGAAUCGAGUGAGCUCAGCGCAGAUAAGCCAGCCGCAGGGAGGGCAGAGUGCCGCGUUCCCAUCUUCCCAGCCAGCGCGGCCGCCGCUCCCGUGGGGUGGCACGGGGAGGCCGCCUUCGGACAUGACGCGAUCGUCCAACAAUGUCCCGCGCCUCUUCCCGCUCAGCGGCUCCGAGAGCCCCGCCAGGCGCCCGGCUCUCGGGGAGUUUUCCUUCUGUUUGCUCUUGGCUCAGCUUCCCUCUUAAUCCUAUUUUCGCCAGUUUCUAUCCAAUUUAAGACAGCUCCUGUAAGUCAAAAUUAAUUACCCGGUGUGCUUCCAGCCCUGUGGUCUCGCUGCUCACCGUUCCUGCAGCUUGGGGCUGGGCUCCAAAAGGAGGAGGGGAACACGCCCCCAAUGUGAGGGGGGCUGUGGGGCCCCACCCCCGAACCAGACUGAAGGGGAGAGGUCCCCACUCCACAUUUCGAAGGACCAGCCUCCUCCAUCAGGAAGUCCUCCCUGACUGCCUCAAUCUUCCUGAGCUCCCCUGACAGCUAAUGUUGGGCACGCUCUUCCCACCACACCUGUGCCUGCCCAUGCCCACAUCCACACGUGUGUCUACCCAGCUCACCAAGGGCCUGGGCUCCUUGCAAAAUGUGUUCAGCCACAUAGAAAUGAGUAAAGGCCAGGCACAGCGGCUCACGCCGGUAAUCCCAGCACUUUGGGAAGCCAAGGCAGGGUUGUUUGAGCCCAGAAGUUUGAGACCAACCUGGGCAACAUAGCAAGACCCCAUCACUACAAGGAAUACAAACAUCAGCCGGGUGUGGUGGUGUGCACCUGGAGCCGUGACCACCCGGGUGGCUGGGGCAGGAGGAUGGCUGAGCCCAGGGAGGUCGGGGCUACAGGGAGCGGUGAUGACACCACCACACUCUAGCUGGGGGAGUGACAAAGGGAGACCCUGUCUUGAAAAAGAAAUAGAAUAAAUAAGGAUACCAAAAGCAACAAAAGGCAGCACAAGAUAUAGAGAGAUACUUGAAGUUACAGACUUUUUGUGCCUCACAGGCCACCAUCAAGAAAGCAAAAGGACAACCCACCCAGUGGGGGGAAUAUUUGCCCGUCAUUUAUCUGAUAAGGGUAUAUUUAAAAUCCAUAAUACAUAAAGAGCCCUUGCAACUCAACACUAAAGCCCGGGCGUGGUGGCUCACGCCCGUCAUCCCAGCACUUUGGGAGGCCGAGGUGGGUGGAUCACCUGAGGUCAGGAGUUCAAGACCAGCCUGACCAACAUGGGGAAACCCCGCCUGUACUAAAAGUAUAAAACUUAGCCGGGUGUGAUGGCAGGUGCCUGUAAUCCCAGCUACUCGGGAGGCUGAGGCAGGAGAAUCGCCUAAGCCCAGGAGGUAGAGAUUACAGUGAGCCGAGAUGGUGCCAUUGCACCCCAGCCUGGGCAACAAGAGCAAAACUCCGUCUCAAAAAAGAAAAAAGGAAACAAACAAACAAACAAAAAACAGUAAAAACACAAGUCACCUGAUUUAAAAUAGCAAAGGAUAGAAACAGAUAUUUCUCCAAGAAGAUACACCAGGGGCCAACAAGCUCAUGAAAAGAUGCAAAGAUGCUCCGUGUCACCAGCCACCCGGGAAACCCGGACCGAAGCCACAGAGAGAGGCCACGUCACACCGGUGAGGAUGCUUACGGUCAGGAAAACCAGGAUGUCGGUGUUGGUGAGGAUGCAGAGAAACGAGGCCUCACGCACCGCUGGUGGGAAUGGAGAGUGAGGCAGCCAGUUUGGAAAACGAUGUAAUAGUUCCUCAAAAGUCGGAACCUAGAAUUAACCCAUGACCUGGCAAUUGCAUUCCUGGCUGUCUACCCAAUAUAAGUGAAAAUAUAUGUCCACACACAAAUUUGUAUAUGGAUGUUCAUAGCGCAAUUCACAAUGGCCAAAAAAAAAAAAAAAAGGAAAAGCGUCCCAAACAGUCACAAGCAGUCGAAUGGGUGGAUGGGGUACAGGUCACCCAAGCAACGGGACACUAGCCUCUCAGAGGAACGAGAUUCUGACCCUCGCUACCGGAUGGAUGAACCUGAAAAACGUGAGCUCCCUGGGCAAAGCCAGACACAAAAAGCCCUACAUUGUGUGACCCCAUUUACGUGAAAUGUCUCGAAUAGGCAAACCCGUAGUGACAGAAAGCAGAUUGGUGUUUGUCUAGGGCUGGGGGAAUCAGGCGUGGGAGGCCCCGGAAAUGAUGGCUAAAGGUUCUGUGAUUUCUUCUGGGAGGUGAUAAAAUGUUCUAAAAUGGAUCAUGCUUCGUUCGCACCGCAUGCCGGCAUCAAAACCUCCGAUGUGCCCCCUAAAUGUAAUACCUGCUGUGUAUCUGCAAAAAUUAAAAAGGAGAUAAAAUCGAUGGUGAUAAUGGUUACACAAUCCCAGUACAUUUAGUGGGUGUGCUAAAAUCAUUGAGCUGUACAUUUUAAAAUGGUGACUCUCAUGUGAAUUAUGUCUAAGAAACAAAAUUAUGAAAAAAUUAAUAAAGAGCAAACAAGGAAAGAAAAAAAAUGCCAAAGAAACUACGAAAUUCAGAGACUGCCCAGAAACCUAAAGAGAGGCAGCCAGUGCCAGGGCAGUUAACACUCUGCACAGAGCUUCCUGGCAGGCAAAGCAAAGAUGGAAACACCCACACUAUGGCGGGCUGUGGGGUCCCAUUUGUUGACGAUUCACUCCACUGAGUGUGUCCAGGUGUUUGUCAGGUGUCAACUCGGCUAAUCCCAACAAGGUCCAGGCAGGAGGAGGGCUACGUAGAUGGGGAAACUGAGGCAGGCCCAAGGUCACCAGUUGAUACAUGGCAGAAGCCAGACCAGCGCCUCAGUGAUUGGGAUUGGAGCCUUUGCUCCCAGCCCUGUGACGUCUCCCCACCCCACCCACCUGCCUGCUUCAGGGUCUUAUUCCCUUGGAGGUAGAUGUCACCCCCCAG
ensembl:lncRNA